UACGUAGGGGGCAAGCGUUGUCCGGAAUUAUUGGGCGUAAAGAGCGCGUAGGCGGUCCGAUAAGUCGGCUGUGAAAGUCAGGGGCUCAACCCUUGAAAGCCGGCCGAUACUGUCGGACUAGAGUCCGGAAGAGGCAAGUGGAAUUCCCGGUGUAGCGGUGAAAUGCGCAGAUAUCGGGAGGAACACCAAUGGCGAAGGCAGCUGCUGGGACGGUACUGACGCUGAGGCGCGAAAGCGUGGGGAGCAACAGG
rnacentral:rRNA from 1 species